rnacentral:rRNA from 1 species
GAUUAACGCUGGCGGCGUGCUUAACACAUGCAAGUCGAGCGGUAAGGCCCUUUCGGGGGUACACGAGCGGCGAACGGGUGAGUAACACGUGAGCAACCUGCCCCGAACGACUGGGAUAACACCGGGAAACCGGUGCUAAUACCGGAUGCCCUCCUCUGGUCGCAUGGCCUAGGGAGGAAAUGAAUUUUGCUUCGGGAGGGGCUCGCGGGCUAUCAGCUUGUUGGUGGGGUAACGGCUCACCAAGGCGACGACGGCUAGCUGGUCUGAGAGGACGACCAGCCACACUGGGACUGAGACACGGCCCAGACUCCUACGGGAGGCAGCAGUGGGGAAGUCUUGCGCAAUGGGCGAAAGCCUGACGCAGCAACGCCGCGUGGGGAUGAAGGCCUUCGGUU